AGACUCAUCCAGGCCCACACACUUGACGACCUCUCCCUCCUCGGAAUCCACCCCCCGCCGCCACGCUUGCCUCGCCGGCCUCGUCUGCCCGCACCCCGCAGUCCCCCAAGCACUUAGACCGUCCACAGCGGCCGGAGCAUCCCCCGUCGAGGAAACCCAGGAAAAUCCCCAUCCCCCCGCCCGGAUCCGAUUCCACAUUGCACUAGUAAGCGUCGAGGAGCAUCUCGCGUCCGAUCCGGCUCCCCUGCGUUCCGGCUCGCGGCACCGGCGUCGAUUUCGCCGGCCGGCGGGCGCCGCUGGGGUGGGGGGCGGCGAUGGGGAACCGGACGAGGAGCGGGAGGCGCCGCCGUGCCAGCGGCGGCGACGGGGGGAGCGCGAGCGCGAGCGGGAGCAAGCGCCUGCGGUGGGUAACGGAGGAGGAGCUGGAGGAGGAGGCGGGGCCGGGGGAUGGGGAGGACGAGGACCUCUGCUUCGUCUGCAAGGACGGCGGCGAACUCCGCAUCUGCGACUACAGGAGCUGCCACAAAGCUUACCAUCCUGGUUGCGUGGGGAAAAGUGUAGACUUCCUCAAAUCGGAUGAAGAAUUCAUUUGUGAAUGGCAUACAUGCUCUAUUUGCGAAGGACGUUCCCGCUACAAUUGCUUCUGCUGUCCACAGAACACCUUCUGCCAAGGUUGUGUGGCACAGGCGGAAUUCGUCCCAGUCCUGAGGAAGACAAAGGGAUUCUGCAGUAACUGUUUAAGGAUGGUCAUCAUGAUUGAGAAGAAUGUUGAUGUUGACUCUGAUGGGGGGAGGGCUGAUUUCAAUGACAGGGAAACUUAUGAAUUUCUAUUCAAGGAGUAUUGGGAAAUAGUUAGAGACAAGGAGGGCUUGACUCUGGAUAAACUUGAAGAAGCAUAUGCUAUUCUGAAAAGAGGCCAGAACUGCAAACAAGAUUCAGAUUUAGAAAAACUUCACGAUGAAGAACACAGCUCAGACGAUGACUUUGUGGGCAAUAGUGAUGAUGAUGGUGAAGAGCCGUCUGCCCGAGCCAAAUUAAAUGGAACGACAAUGAAAAUAAAAUCUUUCCUGAAGAAAGGCAAGUCAAUGAGGAAUGGCUUUAUGGGCUGGGCUUCGAAAGAGCUCAUUGAAUUCCUUUUGUCCAUUGGGAAAGAUACAUCAGAAACUCUAGAUCAAUAUCGUGCUGCUGAAGUGGUGAAGGACUACAUUCGAAAAAAAGAUUUAUUGCAAAAAGAUAAGAAAAAACUUGUCAUUUGUGAUGACAAGCUCCAGCUUUUGUUUAGGAAAUCAAAAGUAAAGUACAACAAGAUAUAUUACUUGUUAGAAAAGCAUAUUGCUGCAAACAUGAUAUCAGAUGAUGAAAUCCUUGCUAGUUCUGAUGAUAACAGUGAUUCAGUUAUGACAAAGAAAGCUCGUACUGUGAGCUGUCAGCCCAGUACCCUGAAGCGUACUCCUGAAAUAAACAAGAGAUGUUUUGCUGCUCUUGUUCGUGAUAACAUUAAUCUAAUCUAUUUGAGGAGAUCAUUAGUUAUGGACCUACUAAAGGAGCCAGCUACAUUUGAAAGUAAAGUUGUUGGCUGUUUCGUUAGAAUAAAGAAUGAUCCCAAAGAUUACAGUUUCCAAAAGCAUAAAAUGUUGUACCGGUUUGGAAAAGUAACAGGCAUUAGGAAAACCACUGAAGAAUAUGAGAUAAAAGACACAGCAAAUGUUCUUUUAUGUAUUUUGAACAUGCCUGACGUCAACAUCUCCAUGUUGUCAGAUGAAGAUUUUGAUGAGGAAGAAUGUGAAGAUCUUCGUUUGCAGGCCCAGAAUGAAUCCUUUGAAAGGUAUACUGUGGGUGAUCUUGAGGAUAAAGCAAGAAGCUUACGCAGGGACAUCAUGAGUCAUUGGAUCAAUAAAGAACUUCAGAGACUAGAUAGAUUAAUUGACAAGGCGAACGAGAAAGGUUGGAGACAGGAUAAGGAUGCAUACCUGGAUAAGAAACAGCUCUUACACAAACCAUCUGAACAACAACGUCUACUUGAAGAGGUCCCACCAGUUAUUCCAGAGAUGGAAGAUGGUAAAGAUACUGAAGUUCAAGUUACAACAAGAGACAAGUCUACUAAGAAGAGCACUGUUGCUUUUCAAGGUACCAAUGCAGAAAGCAUUGUUUCUUUGAAAAGAUGCUCAGAAGAAAAAUAUAAAGGUAACAAUGGGAAAAGAGCAUCACUUCUGAAGAGCUGCGCUCAAGAAAAAUUCAAAGCGGCGAAGCCAGCCCCAGAAAUCACCUAGGGCGGCUACUGUAGCAAGCCGAGGCCAAGCGCUGCUCCGUCGAGCGGCUGGGCGCUGCCGCACUGGGGCCUGGAGGCCUGGCCGGCGCUGGCGCCCGGCGGCCUAGCGGCUGCGCGCCUGGCCACCUGGGAACAGGGAGCCGUCGGGACUCGGGAGGCCGGAGGCGGGCUGGCUGCGUGCCGUGCGAGGGGGGCAAGGCCAGCCGCCUCCCGCCGGCAUGGCACCGCAGGCCGCAGCCCGCAGGUCGGCAGGUGGCGAGCGGAGCGGCCGAGCGCUGCGGCGCAGCGAGGAAGAGCCGACGAGCGGGGAAUGGGGAAGGGAAAACGGGAGACCUAGAGUCCUGGGUGCCUAUCUGCCUGCUGGGCCGAUGGCCGCGGCCCAGUCCAGCCACGAGUGACGAGCCUCCAGCCGAAGCCCACGAGGCCACGACGCCUGCCCAGCCCCAUCUUCACCAAUCACCACCGGCGAGGCGCCACAUCGGGGCGCCCGGACUAGCCGACGGCCGACGGCGUCGCCGCGUCGUCCUCAGCUCCCGUGGGAAUCCCGGCCAGGCGGACCUAGGGCGGCCGCCCUAGCUCGCCCUAGUGGUGGCUUCGCCACUGCAUACAUUUGCUUUGAUUCUGUGAAGUUGUCUCUUUGAUAUAAAUUUUUAGUUGGUAGUUUGGUAGUGAGAAACAGCUCAAUAACUCAUUGCACCUGUUUAUUUGUGACAUCAAAGACUUUGGAACUUAACACUAAGGAGCUAUCCGUGCCCAAAUGGUACUCUUAACUAAUUUUGCCAUAUGAUAUAGGAUAAACUUAGUCUGUCCAAUGUUUUGCUCAUUAAUUAUAGGAUAAACUGGUUCCAUGACAUCAAAAGUGUUAGGAAUAUGAAGACCCAUACACUAUAGGCCCAUAUGGCCCAUGUACAUAUCUUCAUGUAGACAACAGAGCUACGACUCUUCUAUUCUUCCUCUCUUUGUUCAUUCUAUCUUCAUCUGUAACAUGGUAUCAGAGCGGGUUCGAUAGCCCCGCCCGAGAUUCAUUUUUUUUCUGCUGCCGGCCGCCGGCCGCCGGCCGCCAGCCACCUGUCGUGACGGCGACUUGUCCGGCUGCCCGUCUCAUCCGCCGCCUAUUGCUGCCGCCGUCCGCCCAUCGCAGCCUCCAGUCCGCCGCCUGCAGCCUCGCGUCCGCCGCCCAUCGCGGCCUCGCGUCCGCCGCCCGUCGCGGCCCUUCGCCGUCGCGGAUCCGCACGUUGCGGGCUGCCUGCUGUUCGCCUUGGCGCCGUCCGUCGAGGCUGUCUGUCUAGGCCUCCUUCCUUGCCGCCUCCGCAGUGCAGAAGAGGGAGAGGGGGGGGGGGGGCGGUGCGGUUGUGCUGCUGGACUCCUCCAAGCUGUCUGUCUCUGCUCUGCUUGCGGAUGCCACUUUUGUUUUUCUCGGGAAGUAUUGGAUUUGGUGCCGUGAUUCAAAUUGGGCCUAUUUCUGCUAGCUGUUGCUAUCUGCUGGUGUGAUUGUUCUUGUGCAUCGGCUGUCGUGGAGUAGCAGUCAUACGUCUAUCUGGUCUGGUGCUCUCUGCCACUGGCUCCUUAGUUCUUCUAUAUUGCCGCUGCAUACUGGUGGUCUGCAUCCGUGACAUCACCAUCAUUGCUUAUUGGUGCCGCUUCUCUUCAAGAAUAGUCACUGCCCAAAUUCUCUGAUUUGAGUACAAGUAUCAACAUUUCUUCAACAUGUUGCAAUCCAGUGUUAUGGCUAGUGAUAUCAAACUUGAUGUUGGGGUUCAUACUUGUGGAACUGUGUCGAUUGCUGCUGCCUCUCAGAACAUUGCUUCGCAGUCUUGGAUUCUGGAUUCAGGGGCUUCUUUUUAUGUGACGUCUGACAAGUCUAAGUUGGUAGCAUGUAAACCAGUCACUAAUGUUACUUCUAUCCACACUGCUGAUGGUACAUCAUGUCAUGUUACUCAUCAGGGUUCUCUUCACUCUCCCCUUUUUUAUAUACUCGAUGUUUCCUGUGUACCUCAGCUAUCUAUGAAUCUUCUAUCAGUGGGUCAAAUAGCUGAUAUGAACUGCUUUGUUGGAUUUGAUAAUUCGUCAUGUUUUAUCCAAGAUCGUCAGAGUGGAAGUGUGAUUGGGGCUGGUCAUCGCCGUAGAGAUUCUUCUAACCUCUAUGUUCUGGACACUUUACAUCUUCCUUCUUCCACCACUCGUGUGUCACUAGCUGUGUCAUCAUCAGCUUCAUCUUUCGCCAAGUGGCAUCAUCGUCUUGGCCACCUAUGUGGGUCUCGAUUGUCUACGCUGAUCCAUGAGGGUCGUCUUGGUCGUAUUCCUAUUGAUUCUAGUUUCCACUGCAAGGGUUGCAGGCUUGGUAAACAGGUACAACUCCCAUAUUCUAGUAGUACUUCUCAUUCUACUCGACCUUUUGAUCUUAUUCACUCAGAUGUCUGGGGUCCUUCACCUUUUGCUUCUAAGGGUGGUCACAAUUACUAUGUCAUUUUCAUUGAUGACUAUUCUCGAUACACUUGGAUCUAUUUUAUGAAACAUCGAUCUCAACUGUGCUCUAUUUACCAGUCCUUUGCUUGCAUGGUGCACACUCAAUUUUCUACUGCUAUUAGAGUUUUUCGUUCUGAUUCUGGAGGUGAAUACUUGUCUUCAGCUUUUCGCCAGUUUCUCACAUUCGAGGGCACCCUUGCUCAGCUCUCAUGUGCAGGGGCUCAUGCUCAGAAUGGUGUUGCUGAGCGUAAACAUCGCCAUCUUAUUGAGACUGCUCGGACACUUCUCAUUGCAUCUUUUGUGCCGUCUCAUUUUUGGGGAGAAGCUGUCUCAACUGCUAUUUAUCUUAUUAAUCGGCAACCUUCCUCCAAACUUGCUGGAAAAUGUCCUGGUGAGAUUCUUUUUGAUAUACCUCCUAACUAUGACCAUCUCCGAGUGUUUGGGUGCACAUGCUAUGUCUUACUUGCAUCUCGUGAGAGAACUAAGUUGACCGCUCAGUCUGUUGAAUGUGUUUUUCUGGGAUAUAGCCCCGAGCACAAGGGUUAUUGUUGCUAUGAUCCUUCCUCGCGUCGCAUGCGUAUCUCUCGUGAUGUGACAUUUGUUGAGAAUCGUCCUUUCUUCUAUAACCCCUCUACCCAGCCCUCAUAUUCUCCCACAGAGUCCACAUCAUUUCUUUUUCUUCCUCCCAUUUCAUCUAGUGAUGCUGCCAUACCACCACCACCACCACCACCACCUCCUGUUACCCUUAUUCCUGAUCCUAUUCCUUCCGCUACAUCCACUCCACCACCUCCGCCCUCUAAACCACCUAUAACACAUGUCUACACUCGUCACACAGGGCUUCCGCCUAGUCCUACCUCCUUGACCAGUCCUGAUACUCCUGUUUUAGCUGAAUCUGACAAUAUUGAUGAGUCACAUGCUAUCUCUGAUGAGUUACAGGCUGGUCCACGAUAUAAUCUACGGGAUCGCACUACUAUUGAGCUUCCUGCCAAGUUGAGAUUUCCACAUGUGAAUGCUGUUAUUGUUGAGCCAUCUACUUAUCAAGAAGCUUCUUGUAUUCCAGAGUGGCAGCUUGCUAUGUCUGAAAAGCUUGCUGCUCUUGAUCGUACAUGCACUUGGGAUAUUGUUCCAUUACCGUCGCAUGCGACACCCAUUACAUGUAAGUGGGUAUUCAAAAUUAAGACCAAGUCAGAUGGUUCUAUUGAGAGAUAUAAGGCACGUCUUGUUGUCAGAGGGUUCCAACAGAUUCAGGGACGAGAUUAUGAUGAGACAUUUGCUCCUGUUGCUCAUAUGACUACUGUUCGUACUUUGAUUGCAGUGGCUGCUAUUUCUCCUUGGAGUAUCUCUCAGAUGGAUGUUAAGAAUGCUUUUCUUUUUUUCAUGGUGACUUGCAUGAGGAAAUUUAUAUGCAGCCACCCCCAGGUGUUGAUGCUCCUUCAGGACAUGUUUGUCGACUUCGUCGUGCUUUAUAUGGCCUUAAACAAGCUCCUUAUGCUUGGUUUGAGCGCUUUGUUACUGUGGUUCGGGCUGCUGGUUUUUCCCCUAGUGAACAUGAUCCUGCCUUAUUUAUCCAUGUCUGUCCACGUGGACGUACUUUGCUGCUUUUAUACGUUGAUGAUAUGUUGAUAACAGGAGAUGAUGUGGAAUAUAUUUCUCAGCUAAAGCAGCAGCUUAGUGAGCAAUUUCAUAUGUCUGAUUUGGAUCCUCUCAGCUAUUUCUUAGGAAUUGAGGUUAUACAUUCUGCAAAGGGAUACUACCUUUCUCAGUCUAAAUACAUACAAGAUCUUAUUGCUUGUUCUGGAAUUACUGAUAAUCGGACGACUGCAACACCUAUGGAUCUUCACCUGCAGCUUCGCCCUAAUGACGGUACACCUCUUGAGGAUCCCUCUCGAUAUCGGCAUAUUGUGGGCAGUCUUGUUUAUCUCACUGUUACUAGACCCGAUAUUGCUCAUGCAGUCUAUAUUCUGAGUCAGUUUGUGAGUGCUCCUACUUCGGUUCAUUUUGGACAUUUGAUUCGUGUGUUGAGAUAUUUAAGGGGGACAUCAUCUCAGUGUUUGCUCUAUGCUCGUGAUAGUCCGCUUCAGCUUCAUGCUUACUCAGACUCAACUUGGGCGAGUGAUCCAAUAGAUCGUCGUUCUAUCACAGGUUAUUGCAUUCUUCUUGGCUCUUCUCCUCUUGCAUGGAAGUCCAAGAAGCAAGCAGCUGUAUCUCGAUCCAGCACAGAGGCAGAACUUAGAGCACUCGCCACUACAACUUCAGAGAUUGUAUGGCUUCGAUGGUUGUUAAAUGAUUUUGGUAUUUCUUGUGAGGCCCCCACACCUCUUCUUUGUGAUAAUACUGGAGCCAUACAGAUUGCCAAUGAUCCAGUAAAGCAUGAACUUACAAAGCAUAUUGGUGUGGAUGCCUCAUUUACGCGAUCUCACUGUCAUCAGAAAACAAUUGAUCUUCAGUAUGUACCGUCAGAACUGCAAUUGACAGACUUCUUCACCAAAGCACAAACUCGGGAGCAACAUCGGCUUCACUUACUCAAACUCAAUGCUUCGAAUCCUCCGCUUUCGCCAUGAGUUUGAAGGGGGGUGUUAGGAAUAUGAAGGCCCGUACACUAUAGGCCCAUAUGGCCCAUGUACAUAUCUUCUUCAUGUAGACAACAGAGCUACGACUCUUCUAUUCUUCCUCUCUCUGUUCAUUCUAUCUUCAUCUGUAACAAAAAGAUGACACUUUUAGAAAUAUACCACCGAACUGACUUUGUACAUUUCAAUACCAUUGAAAGAUCCCAUCUUUUUGACAUAUGCCAGUCCAUCACGUUUUCCUUCCAUCAGUUCAUUUUUCCGUCAGAUGUGAUACAAGCGCUGUUAUCGUCUAUCUGCAAACGUUGCUGGCUUGUUCCCAUCCGUCCGGCUCUGGCUGUGCCCUAGCGCGCGGUCCCCUGCUGCCCUUGUUCUACAGUCUUCCCCCCCAAAUUAAGCAGCUUGGAACUCAAAUCAAACCUUUGUGCCGCUCAGUUGUCAAAUACUCAAAUUGAAGCUGCAGUCUGCCCAAUCGAGCUGUGCCCCAGCCCAAGCUGAGCUUGUUGAUGGCCAAAGGAGUCUUCAACCAAUCGAGCUCGUCGUCGUGCGUCAGCUGUGCCAUAGUUGUUCUCAGCAGCCCAUAGGUGCAAAAAUCUGCGGUGGCCUGUGGCAGAGUCAAGUUAGGGUUCGGCUGUGGGUGAAAGCUGGAUGGAGCGCAGCAGCCUUUGGUGGCGCUUAGCUGGGGUGUGGCCUCGCGCGGAGGUUUGCCUGGGUGUGACAGACUGGCGGAGCCUAACCCUGAUGCAGCCAUGGGUGGAGAGUGGAGACUGCCUGGGUUGUGGCGGUGUGCGACGAAGCCAGGAUGGGGCGUGCUGCAUGUGGAGGAUGGCUAGGGUGCUUGGUGGUGUUCGGCAAAUCUGAGCUAUGGACGUGGGUGGAGGUGGGCCGUGACAGAUCACGGCAGUCUGAAUUGCAGCGUGGCGGCAGCCUGGACCAGAGAUGCAGAGGACGAACUUGCUAGAACAGAGAACGCUGAAGAUGAGUUGGCUGCAAUGCAGAAGGCGGAGGAGGGAUGGAAAAUGUAAUGGAGUGCUACUAACACCUACACUAGUGGUGGUACAGCUGUAAUGGAUACUCAGAAACAGGACACUGAAGGUGCUGAUGGAGGUGUUGAUGGUGAUACAGCUGGAGUGAAUGUUCAAAGGCGGAGCACCGAAGCCACAAAAGUCAUGUGUUCAAGAGCAGGGUGCUAAAGCUGCUGAUAUUAUUAUCAUUGAAGAAGAAGAUGAUGAUCAUCCGUGUCAAAGAAGUGGACAGACAGCAAUUAUUGAUCUAGAAGCCAAUGAUGCCAGUGAUACUCAUGAUGCGCAACACAAGACAAAUAACAUAUCAGGCGGAGUCCACAGAAACGUGAAGGUGAAGGGGGAAGGCUCAGUGCACAGUUGCUUGUGGCAUUACAUCGAUCCUCAAGGCGACGUGCAAGGGCCUUUUUCAUUGGAGCGACUGCACGGUUGGUGGAACAAUGGCUACCUCCCCAAUGAUUUCAGAGUCUGGAAGACAGGCCAAACUAGCGACACCGCCAUCUCGCUCAUAGAUGCUCUGCAGGUGAUCAAUGGGGCCGUGCCAAAUACAGGGCCUCAUGUUAGAUGACUAGAUGGACUUAUAUCGCGGAAAGGGGGAGAGGACUUCUUAGUUGUAAAUAGAUUUAGUCCUUUGUAACAAAUAACAUCCUACCCCCACCCCUGCCCCACCAAUCUAAAAACCCAGUCACCGAGCAAAACCGAUGCUUUGCCUGGCCCUACCCAAGGUGUGGCCUAAUUUGGACUGUAAGCUGCCUCACCCUUUGGCCUAGGUGUAUUUUGUGCCCGGAAAUUGCUUCAGAUGUCUGCUUGGCAUAAAGCAGUUGUGAUCAGAUACAAUGGGUUCAUUUACACAGCACAGACAAUGCUCUGCAUGGUAGUUUGAUGGGAAAACAUGCUUUGGUGGAUCAAA